rnacentral:rRNA from 1 species
CCUACGGGGGGCAGCAGUGGGGAAUAUUGCACAAUGGGCGCAAGCCUGAUGCAGCCAUGCCGCGUGUGUGAAGAAGGCCUUCGGGUUGUAAAGCACUUUCAGCGGGGAGGAAGGCGUUAAGGUUAAUAACCUUGGCGAUUGACGUUACCCGCAGAAGACGCACCGGCUAACUCCGUGCCAGCAGCCGCGGUAAUACGGAGGGUGCAAGCGUUAAUCGGAAUUACUGGGCGUAAAGCGCACGCAGGCGGUCUGUCAAGUCGGAUGUGAAAUCCCCGGGCUCAACCUGGGAACUGCAUUCGAAACUGGCAGGCUAGAGUCUUGUAGAGGGGGGUAGAAGUCCAGGUGUAGCGGUGAAAUGCGUAGAGAUCUGGAGGAAUACCGGUGGCGAAGGCGGCCCCCUGGACAGUAACUGACGCUGAGGAGCGAAAGCAUGGGUAGCGAACAGGAUUAGAUACCCCAGUAGUC